UAGCUUGGUAAACCCUAUCCGGAGCAAGAUCAAAUAGGAAAGUGCUUGAGGGCGGCCCGUCCGAUACUUUCGGGUUGAUUGCUUGAGCCUGUUGGCAACAGCAGGCCUAGAUUAAUGGUCACCACUUCAUGUUUCAUGAAGUACAAAACCCGGCUUAUGGUUUACUUCGGCCA
rnacentral:RNase_P_RNA from 1 species